rnacentral:rRNA from 1 species
GCAUUGCGAGUCAUAUCUCUCCCUUAAUGAGGCUGUCCAUACGUACUGUUCAGCCGGUGCGGAUGUGAGUUUGGCCCCUUGUUCUUCGGUACGGGGGGUCUAAGAGCUGCAUGGGCUUUUGAUGGUCCUAAAUACGGCAAGAGGUGGACGAACUAUGCUACAACAAAACU